AUUGAACGCUGGCGGCAUGCCUUACACAUGCAAGUCGAACGGCAGCACGGGUGCUUGCACCUGGUGGCGAGUGGCGAACGGGUGAGUAAUACAUCGGAACGUACCUUAUCGUGGGGGAUAACGCAGCGAAAGCUGUGCUAAUACCGCAUACGCCUUGAGGGGGAAAGCGGGGGAUCGCAAGACCUCGCGCGCUUAGAGCGGCCGAUGCCUGAUUAGAUUGUUGGUGGGGAAAAAGCCCACCAAGGCGACGAUCAGUAGCUGGUCUGAGAGGACGAUCAGCCACACUGGGACUGAGACACGGCCCAGACUCCUACGGGAGGCAGCAGUGGGGAAUUUUGGACAAUGGGGGCAACCCUGAUCCAGCAAUGCCGCGUGAGUGAAGAAGGCCUUCGGGUUGUAAAGCUCUUUUGUCAGGGAAGAAACACCGGCUCUAACACAGUCCGGGAAUGACGGUACCUGAAGAAUAAGCACCGGCUAACUACGUGCCAGCCGCCGCGGUAA
rnacentral:rRNA from 1 species